rnacentral:rRNA from 1 species
GACGAACGCUGGCGGCGUGCUUAACACAUGCAAGUCGAACGAAAAGAGGGAAAGAGCUUGCUCUUUCCGGAAUUGAGUGGCAAACGGGUGAGUAACACGUAAACAACCUGCCUUCAGGAUGGGGACAACAGACGGAAACGACUGCUAAUACCGAAUAAGUUCCAAGAGCCGCAUGGCCCAUGGAAGAAAAGGUGGCCUCUACCUGUAAGCUAUCGCCUGAAGAGGGGUUUGCGUCUGAUUAGCUGGUUGGAGGGUUAACGGCCCACCAAGGCGACGAUCAGUAGCCGGUCUGAGAGGAUGAACGGCCACACUGGAACUGAGACACGGUCCAGACUCCUACGGGAGGCAGCAGUGGGGAAUCUUCCGCAAUGGGCGAAAGCCUGACGGAGCAGCGCCGCGUGAGUGAUGACGGCCUUCGGGUUGUAAAACUCUGUGAUCCGGGACGAAAAGGCAGAGUGCGAAGAACAAACUGCAUUGACGGUACCGGAAAAGCAAGCCACGGCUAACUACGUG